rnacentral:tmRNA from 1 species
GGGACUGCCAGGUUUCUACAUGUUAAUACUUGUUCUGAAGUACAGAAAACUUAAUAUGCUAAAGUUUUAAGGCUUUCAGCAAAUUCAAACAAUAAAUGCAAAAAACCAAAUUAUUCCUUUUUCUCGGAGUGUAGUUGCAGUUUAGUAACUUUUGAUUAUCCGCUUGAUCAGCUAAAUAGCAGGCAUGCUAUAACUGAUUAUUCUAUGUUGCUCUUAAGUUAUCUAUUAUGUAUUGAUUUAUAUAACUCAAGUAAAGAUAAUUGCUAGUACAUAAAUUUUGUUCUGUUAACUAAUAAUAACAAUACGUUAUUAAAUAGCUUUUGGAAUAUUGUUAUUAACAUGGACGUGGGUUCAAAUCCCACCAGUUCCA